GUGAGUCAUCGAAUCUUUGAACGCAACUUGCACUCUCUUUUAGAGAGUAUGCCUGUUUGAGAAUCUAUAAACUAUUCAAAACCCUGGUUUUGGAGUCUGAGCCCUCUCUGCGCAAGCCGAGUGGCUUUAAAGCAAUAAGGCUAAUGGUUGCAACUAUCUAGCGAAACAGUGUUGAAAUAGGUGAAUCAGUUGAUUGUCCUUUCUGCGCCCAGUAUUCUAUUUAGCCAAAGCCGGACUGCCUAUAACCCCCCCUUGAAACUAGGUCUCAAAUCAGGUAGGAAGACCCGCUGAACUUAAGCA
rnacentral:misc_RNA from 1 species